GUAUGCAUCAGGCUCGGCUUCAGCUUCGCCGCGCUUAAGCUGCUCGUCCAGAUCCAUCGUACAGGUGGCGUAUGGGACAUUCGUAAUGCCGGCAGCUUCUGCCUCCCGCGGCCGCUUCCUUCCUCCCAGGCCGUCCCUCGGCCCGCGGACAGCGGUGGGGGCACCACCACCACCACCACCACCACCACCGCAAUCACUACCGCCGGGUCCAUCAGCAGUGGCAGUAGCAGCGGUAAUGGAAGGAGCACCACUGCCAGUCCUUGUGUCGCCUGCGCUGCGCCGUCCACCGGCGCGGCAUCGCUUCAGC
rnacentral:lncRNA from 1 species